UACAGAGGGUGCGAGCGUUAAUCGGAAUUACUGGGCGUAAAGCGCGCGUAGGCGGCUUUGCAAGUCGGGUGUGAAAGCCCCCGGCUCAACUGGGGAGGGUCACGCGAUACUGAUCGACUCGAAGGCAGGAGAGGGUAGUGGAAUUCCCGGUGUAGUGGUGAAAUGCGUAGAUAUCGGGAGGAACACCAGUGGCGAAGGCGACUACCUGGCCUGUUUCUUGACGCUGAGGCGCGAAAGCUAGGGGAGCAAACGGG
rnacentral:rRNA from 1 species